ensembl:misc_RNA Metazoa_SRP Metazoan signal recognition particle RNA
GCCAGGCAUGAUGGCUCAUGCCUGUAAUCCCAGCUCUUUGGGAGGCUGAGGCAGGCGGAUCACUUGAGGUCAGGAGUUCCAGACCAGCCUGGCCAACAUGGUGAAACCCCGUCUCUA